CCCUCUGUCUUUCGCUCCAACGAACAGGCCGCCCGCCGCCGCCGCGGUAGCGCGCCAUCGACGGGAAAGCCCGGCCCAUCGCCGACGGGGUCGCCGCCCGGCCAUGGCUUGGCAUAAUGCCUCUGCUUCCACCAGAUCCAAUCUUGCCGCCGCCACCUCCAUUGUCAGACAGCUCGACCUCCGCCGUAUCCGGCGGCGAGAAGCUGAGCACAGAGAAGUAUGGGCGAAGCCGACGCCACCUUGCGCCGGCGAGCGCUCGUCAGCAGGUCACCACUAUACCGAGGAGCACGCCGACUAAUCACCGUGUUGGUGAAGACCGAAAGCUCCUGAAUCGCGGUGCCUUGGAUGACGUCAUCGGCGGCGGAGCACAUCGCCGAGCUCGAGCAGAGCAGGAGGAGAGCUGCUGCUACCCCAAGCUUUCUUCUUCCAUAGAUGAUUCCUGCCCUGGGGUCUGGGGAUAGAUAUUGUGGAUGCAUGAUUCAAGCUGGAGCUGUAGCUGCUGCACGGAUCGAUCGAAAUUGCAAGCUAGCUAGCUCGAUCGCCUGUGUUUAUAUAUAGAUUCAUUCAUUCGCAUGUGGUUGCUUCCGAGUUAUAUAUGCUUCCGUUUUUUAAGACCAGUAUUUCCAAAGCUUUUGAUGUCAAGCUCAACCCCGUCUUC